UACGAAGGGGGCUAGCGUUGCUCGGAACCACUGGGCGUAAAGCGCACGUAGGCGGACUCUUAAGUCGGUGGUGAAAUCCUGGAGCUCAACUCCAGAACUGCCUCCGAUACUGCGAGUCUCCGAGUCCGGGAGAGGUGAGUGGAACUGCGAGUGUAGAGGUGAAAUUCGUAGAUAUUCGCAAGAACACCAGUGGCGAAGGCGGCUCACUGGCCCGGUACUGACGCUGAGGUGCGAAAGCGUGGGGAGCAAACAGG
rnacentral:rRNA from 1 species